UACGUAGGGGGCUAGCGUUGUCCGGAAUCAUUGGGCGUAAAGAGCGUGUAGGCGGUCCGGUAAGUCCGCUGUGAAAGUCGGGGGCUCAACCCUCGAAUGCCGGUGGAUACUGUCGGGCUAGAGUGCGGAAGAGGCGAGUGGAAUUCCUGGUGUAGCGGUGAAAUGCGUAGAUAUCGGGAGGAACACCCGUGGCGAAGGCGGCUCUCUGGGACGGUACUGACGCUGAGACGCGAAAGCGUGGGGAGCGAACAGG
rnacentral:rRNA from 1 species